rnacentral:lncRNA from 1 species
ACUGCAACCAAUUCCAGCUCUAGUCACUUGGCGGUGGCCCAGGUGUUUGGGGUAAAGGUGGGGCACAGGAAACCGAGGCCCAAAGCCAUCCACUGAAUUGCCAUGAGCCAGAAAGGGCAGGGCCAGAAAGGGCAAGGGCCCAGAGGGACAGCAGCCCCCAGAGGCGAGGGUAAAUUGAGGCUCCGAGUGGCUGAUCACACAGGUGCAUGGUGAGGCUGUGAGGCCUGCCAUCUGAGGUGCCCACUGUGUGCCGUCGGAAGGGGGGCCCAGCAGUGCCCUCGGGCAGGCAGUGGCGGCUGCCACGCUGGACUCACUCCCCUGGCACCCUGGCGGUUGGGGGGAGCUCCUCCUCCUCCUUCCAGGAUGAAGAACAACUCAUCAACUUGCAAAUGUCCGGGUGAGAGGGUUGGAAAAAUGAAGGCGCCCAAACUUGACAUUUGCAUUUCAAACACUUAUAUCAGCAAAACAAAUAACAGUAAUUAUACCAUUUGCAUAUUUUGUGCAAUGAUUGUUUAGCGAGGUGGGGAGGAGGGGCGCCUGCUGAUGCCAGCAGCCCAGCCUCCCGCACAGCUGUGCCGCCCCGCCCAGGGUCCCUGCCACCCUGCACCUCCAUGCUGCCCACCCCUUGGCCCUGUGG